UGCUUUUAGGUUGGUGGUUCAGUUCUCUAUGAGCCCCCAUGGGCCCAGGUUAGUUGACUCUGUAGGUCUCCUUGACCCCUCUGGCUUCCUCAAUAGUCCACUCUUCCACAAGACUCCACCCUCCACAGCUCCACCUAGUGUUUGACUGUGGAUCUCUCUCUGUUUUUGGUCAACUACCGGGGUGGAGCCUCUCAGAGGCAAGUUAAGCUAGGCUUCUGUCUGAGAGCAUAGCAGAGUAUCAUUGUUAGUUUCAGAAGUUUCUCCCACGGGAUGACCUUUGGGUCAGUCAUUGGUUGACCAUCCACAACGGGAUUUCCUAGAAGACAGAUCUAGAGGGAUCCAAUAGGUCCAGCGUGUCCAUCAGUGUUAGCUGAUCACAUGGGUAUUGAACCAGUUGAGAUGAAGUAUGCUCCUCUUAGGAUGACUAAAAUGCUGUACCUUGCUGCAGUGCAAGUGACCUGCAUGACACCCUUCACUGUUUUAAAGGAUGGGUUUUAUUUGCUCACGCAUUUUAUCCUAAAGAAUAGUCCUGUGGCCUCGGCACUCGAAUUUUAGAUCGUCCCAUAUUUUCUUCUUAUUCUCCUCCCAUGCAGACUUGAAAAUCAGGCACCAGCAUAUCUCCCGCCUGUGUCCUCUGAGGUGUUUUCCAUAGCUUUCCAUGCACUGGACCGUUCUGUAACGGCAGUGAUUAAACAGGCUACUUUUAAAACAGUGGUCAUCUCCUGAGGCAGCCAAUAAAUGGGAGUUUGUACUUUUCUUCACCUCCACUACUUUUAAAGAUAAUUUAACUUAAAAAAAGAAAUUGACUAAGAUAUAGUUGAUUUUUUUUAUGUGGAGGGUCAGGGAGUGCUUCUACUUUUUUUAAACCUUUGAAUCAAGUUUUUGAUUUUCCCCUUUUAUGUAUUACUCUGAUGAACCAGGAAUUUUCCCUCUGCUUUUAAGACAAAUUUUAAAGUACUACACAUGUUCUGGCUACUAUUUGCACUGCUUAUAGUAAAGCUUUAGAUUUUUAAGCUUCACUGGUAGAACUUUCUACUUAAAUUAUUAAUCCAAUUUAGUUUAAAUUUUCAUAAGUUAUUAAAGUAGAUUCCAUGUGAAUAGCUGAUUUUCAGAUUUUGGUGAGUCCUAAUUCGAGACAGUGCUAAUGUGUAGCCUUUGGGUAUUAACUUUCCUUAAGUAAUGGAUAAAAUAAUUUCUCUCAUCCAAGACGAAAUGUGGAUAGCAGAUGCUUUUCCUGGGGCUUAAUUAAUUAUCUCAACAUUAGACCACCCAAGAGCUAGAAGUGAAGUUAGAGAUGACUGUGUGGAUGGAUCUCAGAACUGCAGUGCUCUCUGUAAAGCUGAACACUUUUCAUAGUGGAAACUUCCAUAAAUACUUGCUGUGGCCCAGAUGGUAUGGAUUUAUCCAGGUUAAGAAGUUCAAGCCACAGACUAAUACAUUGUCCCUUAUGUCUUCUGCUGUGUUUCACUUUUUUUUUUAAUGGUCAGUACUUUUUAAAAUCAGGUAACUGUUAGAAGCUAGCUACCAUUAAACAAAUUGUCAAGUCAGCUGUUAUCACAGGGCCUCAGGAAUAUUUUCUAAGACAAGUAAGAAAGUAAAGUAAGUAAAAGAAGCCUUUGUCAAAUAAAGACCCUAAAAGUAAAUACACACACACACACACACACACACACACACACACACACACACACACACAUGCCUGGAUGCCUGGUAUUUCUUUCUGUGAGUAUGUAUAACUCCUAAGUAGUAUUUAUAAUAUUUUAGCCUUGCCAUGCCGUUGAGUCACAAACACAUGGGCAUUCUUAGACAUGGAGAAUCUGGACCAUUGUAAUCAACCCUACUUGUUGUGUCAGAAGAAGCACAAAUAUACAAAGUGGAUGGCAAUGAAGAGGUGCUUCAUAGUGUUAACCUAAGGAUUACACAAUGAUUUUGCUCUUACCUCUUUCUUUUCCCCAAGUGUCACAUUACCUACAGUUUUCCCACUGGCUACAUGGAUGGAAGAUUUAUCGUACCUGCCUGCAAGGCUUCUGGCUAGGAAGACAGUGAUCUAAGGGAUUGUUAUUAACCCAUCAAGUCCAGCAGAACACCACAUAAGUGUUUCAGAGAAGGAGCGGGUUAAUUUCAAAUUUGGUUUAGGCAAAAACAAUUAAUACCACACAAAAGAUUAAAAGCACACACAAAGCAAGCCCAAAGUACCAGCUUUUGAGAAAGAAGAAACAAAUAACUCAAGAGUUCAAAAAAAUGUGACCAGAGUUGAAGUUGAAGCGUGAUAACCUGUAAUAGACAAACGGAGUAGCCACCAGGUUGCAUGGGUUUAUGUUGGGGAUGUGUGGGGAGGGGAGCAGCUGAGAUUUUGUAGAUUCAGUUUGUUGGUAGGUGAGGAAAGAAUGGGUGAAGCUUUCUGGGUCCCAUUCGAAGGUAUCCCUUGAAGUUAAGUGAGUGAAUGAGAGGCCAUAUUCUGUCCUUUGAGAGCAGGUUGUGGCACAGCAAGGAGAGAGGGCUACAGUUGGAAAAGAGGAAAAUGGAAAAGUCGAGAAAAGUUCUCUCCUUGGGAUAACGGUCCCAUGGGUGGCAUAGAGCUGGUUUUUAAUGUUAUGUCCUAAUGUAAAUGCCAGGGCUUUGUUCGUGAAGGAAGCCGGUUGACCAGAGACAUCAACAGCACUCAGGACUUUUACUAGGAAGAGUCUAAGACCAUACUUCAGACUAUCAUAAAAACAGGCAGCAUUUUAUCAUGACUUCAAGCCCUUUAUGCACACAACGAUUCGAAGCAUUUCUGUAUGUGAGUAUCAAAGCAUGGUGUAUUGACAAGUAAGAAUCAAACUCCCAUAAAAUAAUUAUCCUUUUAUCUAAAAAUAAGUGUGUUGUUAAUCUGAUGAAGCAAUACUGUUACUUUGUGUUGGCUAACUUAAUUCUAAAGAAAGGAUCUUUCUCUGUAGCUGCUGUCCUAUAAUCAAAAGGAAACAGGAAGUAAACUUUGCCUCUCAAUCAGCUGAGGGUUUGGAACUGAGAGAUUAACAUGCCAGUUGGUCAGAUUGCUUAUUUUCUCUAUUCUACCUGGUGCCAAGACAGCCACAUGAAAAUGAAAAAUCAAAAUAUUGUGUUAUUGGCUUUGCCCUGCAUAAACCAUGUGUAUAUUUGGCUCACUUUCAUUGUCUAAAUUAUUUAACUUUUGCUUACUUGUAAGAAAUGUAAUCUUAGUACUCCAGUGAAAAUUAAGCCAAGAAAAAUGAAAAGCAUUUUAGCUAUUUCAAGGUAAAAAAAAAACUUGUUUCCCCCAAAUAUUUGUCAUUUAGAAUUUAACAAAAGGAAGAGGUUUUGUAUGUAUGUAAUGUGCUUGGCUCAUCUCUCUCUGAUCUGGCCACACUUCUCAAUGUGUGCUUAUUGUAAAUUCAGACUGGCUGUGACACUUCCUGUUCAGAUAGCUCAUUUUCAUCUGAUCUCAAUUUUCCCACCCAAGGCUCAGACCACCCAUGGCAAACAAACAAAAUUACCACCAAGAGCUAAUUUUGUAAUGAAAACAAUUUGAGCAUAAAUGUGUGAAAGGCAGAAACUUCCAUGAAUCUUUUUCUUCGGAAUGAAAGUUUAGGGCCAUGAUUUAAUUCUUAAUCGAGUAAAGUUGUUUGCAUGUGUAAAAUACCGAAUAUUCUGUCCUUACUGUAGCCUUAAAUGUUGGGGGUACAGAGAAAGCUGUUUCUAUGUUGUGAUUUCUAGAUGUCAUAGAAUUUUCUAGGUUUCGGUUUUCUAGUAUUGCUUGGGUAGGGUUUUUACCUCUGUCCUGAUUGUUUGAUAUUGUAUAAAUAGGACAUGAAUGUUAAAGGGCCUUGAGAUGUAGUGACUGUAGAAGCAUGAUAGACUGUUACUGAAAAGUGUGAUUUCUGGGAGACAUUUUAGGAUUCCCAACAUGUUCUGGGCUUAUUUGGUAACAUGUAACUUAGUAUGUCCAAUUCUGCCAUCAAAAACUUUCAUUUUCUAAUAGAUUUCUUUCUGCAUGUUGGAAGCAGAAAUUACUGCCUUUAACACACAUUUUUUUAUAGGACUAAGACUUUUUAAAAUGUUUGUUUGAGUACAUUUCAAAAGCACAUCCAUGUGACUUGGAAAUUUUGAGGAAAACAUAUCAUCAUUAAAUGAAUUUAUUGGUGUUAUUUCUAGUUUCAAUGUGACCAAUAGGAAAUGGAGCGGAGUUCCAUAUGUCUGGGGACAAGAGAUCUAAUCCUAACCCAGAACACUCAUCUGGAAUGGGACAGAGCAAGUCAAGAGAUGUGUGAGUUAUGCUAGUUAUCUAGGUAUGGAGAUGUCUGGAGAAGAAAGAUUUGAUCUGAGUUCCAUGUCACCCUUGCUCUCUGGUAGACACUGAUAUUUUGAUAUUGCAUAAUUCAAGGAAGAAACACUAACUUAGAUGUCGAAAGGGUUGUGUUCAUGGGAUUGAGACAUCCAAAGGCAAGGGUGUUGUGUGGUCUACGAUUUCGGCCAGCAGCCUGUGUGGUAAAUGGCAGCCGAUCUUCAGUACCACAUUGUAAUCGACAGCCCUGUGGUGAGUGGGAAACAGAGCUUUUCCCCUUCAUCGGAUCCCGCACUCAGUCUGCUUUAGCCCAGUACUCAUAAGUGCCAUCUGUUCACAGGCUGAAAUCUGUGGAGUGAAAUCCGAAGUCACAUAGGAGACUACAAAAUACAGAUCUGUAAAGAAACCAGAGGAAGCACAGUGCAUGAAAUGAACAAAAUAAUAGCCUUGGAAAUAAAGAAAAAAACAGGAAUACAGGGCAACAGAAGGAGAACACUUCCAACGACGAGAAGCAGUGAGCUUUAAAAUAUUUCAGACAGGAAGACUUAUCUGAAUGAUUGAAAUUUAUAAGUGAGAUUUCAUAGCCCAGAGGCAUUUAAUUGUCCUAUUUGAAAGAGUGCAAGGGGUAAGGACUGGAUGCUGAGUUUCCCAGGUUGAGACAGAACUUUUGACCGCCAUUUUGAAAGUUUCUAGAACUUGUUGUCCUACUAAGCAUUUCAUUUUAGCAUUUGGACAAGUAAUAGUGCUUCUAAUGGCUGGAACAACACUGUAGACAACAUUUAAGCUUCUGUGGCCAUAAGUUCAGAUGGUAGCAUGAGCUUUCUGCGGGGUUCAGAUGUCAGCAUGAUACCACAGUUGUCCUUCCUCUGUGUUUCCAGUCCUAUGUGGGCCACUUUACAGUACAGUCUGAAUCUGAACCUAGCAUAUAUUGGUGACAACAGUGAAUAUCCCAUCCCAUGGUUAUGCAUAAAUAUUCAGUAUGUUACACAAGGAGGGAAGUAAUCAAGGCAAAUGAAGCACGUGGACACCUUGGGAGAACUCCUGUUUUGUCUCUAUAGAAGAAUGAGAGUUGUACGUGUAAUGAGUGACUACCACAGGGCACCACCUACCUUGAGAGCGUUGAAGCUCAUUUCCUCAGCUAUGAAGUGUGAGCGAAAGCAACUGCUGACAACUUCAGGUCAACCCCAAUUUGUUAUUUUUAAGGGCGUGGCUGCUUGUAGGGCCACUGUGUUUGGGUGGAUGGCCUCAUACCAGUGAAUAAGUUGGACUAGGUGGGUUGUUUAAGGCGAGGAAACAACGGAAAAGGAUACACACAAUGGGAGUAGACUUGAGAGGAGUUAGGCGGGAGACUAGAGGGUGCAUAUAAUCAAAUUAUAUCCUAGGAAUUCCUCAAGAUAGUAAUAAAAUGUAUUACAAGCCUAAAGCUAACUCAGUCGCAGUUGUGAAGGUGGACUAAAGGUGUGAAGUCUUGUUACGUCCCUGACUUAAAGUAAGGUGUCCGUAAAUAACGUAAUUACUCAUGGGGGCAUAAGCAAUUGGGUAAGAUCCCGAAGACGCCAUUGUGGAAAAAGGUGAGUUUCUCAUCGAGAAAUGAAAGUAAAUAAAAGAGACUGGGUUAUCCUAAGGACAGACUCAGUGAAAGAGUGACGGGCUCUUAGGAGGUGUUGCCAGGAAGGGCAGGAUGAGGUUGCAGUAAGAUUGCUUUCACUGGGCUUAACUCGGGCGUUAGUGCUACAAGGCAGGCAUUAUUGGUCGGGCGCGCGCUGGUACUGAGAGAGUGGGAUUUGAUGAUCUUUACGGGACCUUAACCUUUAAGUCUUGACAAACAGCUCAGGCGUUUUAAGAACCCUGGUGUGCAAAUAUUCCCCGAAUAACUGGAAAAUACAGUCUGUUUCCAAGUUUUAUGGACAUUUCGUGUUGCUUAAAGAGGUAAUUAAAGAUGGGAUUUGAGUGAGAAGAAUGUAUUUCCUCCUCCUCAUUAAAGGACUUAGAGUUCCUGAUUUAACUUCUCUGGCAUUUUGCUUUUUGAUAUUUUCUAGCGUUACUUUCCCCUUGGUUUUCUCCAAAAUGAACUAAGGACUCAAAAACCUUAAUUCUGUUGCUGGUGUCACUAAUGAAUAAUUCAGUAUGUUGGUUUAGAACGGCACUAAAGCUUUCUUAGUUUUCAAAAUAAAAUCAGAAAACUUAUCAUUGGAAGACCUUGAUCCUGUGCUCCUCAACCUGACACAUUCUGCAAAGGCAUGCAAUGAUAAUUUAUUUCUAUCAUCACUGGAGCUGAGGGAAAAGCCACAACAACUACAUUUUUCUUGAAGGCAAAUCACACACAAGAUUGCAGGUCAAGGGAAUGAAAAGGGGUGGGGGUGUGGAUCUUGCAAAAGCUGAGCUUCCCACCCCCUCCCACGGUCUCUGGGAGGUGACUUUAGUGGCUCCUAACUGAUUCUGUCACUGUGAAAUCCUACAGUCAUUCUUCCACACAUAAAGGACAAAUAGGCAGGAGAGGAGGAUCUAGAUGCUUUCAGUUUUAACUCUUCACCAAUAGUAGAAAAGGCAGAAUGCCUAAGCUAUGGUUCUGUGGCCAAUAGGAUGGCUGCGUGUCUCUCACAUGACUGCCUGUCCCUGCCUUUCGCAUGGGCUCUAAUUUAGUUCAAUUCAGAACUGCAGAUAGUACGGUGGAGCAGGGAUCCCUGAGCACAAGUGGCCGAGUUCCGAGGGACUUUAGGAAAUGCUUCUCCUCCCUUCCUGGGCAUGCAAACAAGAUUCUGCACCUGCACCGCAGUUUGUCCGAGACAGAAGCCUCUGCCUCGCCUCGCCUCGCCCGCAGGGACAAGGAACUAGAGCAAGAAGCAGCAUUUGAAAAUUGCUCUGGAUUCAAGGACCAACACAUCUCAUGAAGGAGAAAGAAGGCAGCUCCAUCGACAUGUUCAAAGGCCAUCCAGUAGGAACCACAGCCAUGUGCAUGUCCCUGAGGAACUUAAAGAGCAAAAUCAGGAGAUGGAUGAAGUCAGGUGACUGCAGACAUGGCUGCUGGAAUCAGAGCCAGGAGGAGUAGACGGCCAGAGCCUGGUAAGAAGAACCCCACUCGUCAGGAUGUGCUGUGUGGCAUGGUGUGGAGUCCUCACUGAAUCCCUUCCCCACUCAGUGACCGUGUCCUAAUACCUGCCCACUUGUAUCCUAGAUUUAACAGUUCUAUGUUUGGUUUUCCUUCCUUCUGUUUCCUUACUUUAAAGCAAAAGAAAAGAAAGGCCCCUGACCUCUAUUCCCUGCUCAAAGAAGACACUGCAUCGAAAAGAACCCUUAGUGGACCAGAGGCACGUGCGCUGCAUGUGCACUUACAGUCCUCGGUUUAUAAUGUAGCCUUAUCCUUAUUUUCAUAAAAUUAAAUAGAAUUCUAGAAAUGAUAGUAAGCACAGAAACUGUACGCUGUGACUCAUAUUGAGUGGAAAGCAGGAAAUCCUAAAACUGUCUCCUAAGUCAUCGGACUAGCUAGAAAAAAAUGCUUAAUUACAGGUUUGUACACUCAGAGAGGAUGCUGAAGAAAUGUUUGAGGAGAAAGGCCCUUAUCAAAAUACACACACAGCAAACUGGAAUUGCCAUCUAACCUAGACAAGAGUAUGUGUUUAAAUUGCCUGAGGAUAUUGUUCACACAGCAAACUGAUGUCAAUCUUAUAUCUUCUGACGUCUGUAUACAUAUGCCGCUCAGCAGAAUUCUGCUGAGAAUUGAAUGUUUUCUUCUGGACACAUCUGCAGCUUCUGUUUGGCUUUGGCUUUUUUUUUCUGUUCUGAAGGUGUUUGCUCACUUCCCUGUAGUUUUGAUUUGCUCCUGAGGAUGCCCAGAAGAAAAGAAGGUAAGGACUUGCAUAAGUUGUGUUAGGCCUUAGGGAAUUCUUUCCUCGUUUUCAGUAUUGUGGUUUGGUUUGGUUUGGUUUCUUUGACUGGGUGAGAUGAAAGUCUUGUUUUCUCAUUUAUAAAUAGCCCCACGAGAACUGGUAGCUGUGUGAGCACAGAGAAGCAUGACAGACAACUGAUACAUCGGAUCUUUAGAAGUACUGUCAGUACUCUGUAGGAAAUACAGCUUACUCUGGAAAACACAAUUGACACAACUGUUUAAAAGAAACAAAGAUAUUAAACACACCAAUAAAUAACUGUACAUUAAAGUUGUAACAUUCUUUUUGUUGUUGAUUUUUGAGAUAACAGUACAGACUAGCCUCAAACUCACAGUCAUCCUCCUGCCUCUGUCUUCAGUGCUAAGUUUACAGAAAUUAGUCGACACACGACAUAAAACUUUAAUUCUACCCCUUAACCAAUUAUUGAGUUUUCCUAGGAAAAUAGAUUUCUUUAAAACCAUUUUGCUAAUAUUUGAAUCAGCACACAAAAUUGUAUAGUUUUUAAAAAUUUGGUAUGUAGGAUGCCUUAAUUCCUUAAAGUUUGCCACACCUCCCCUGGUUAGGAAUGCAAGCUUGGGAUGUUUUGAAGAAAUCAGGGUGUUUCUCUUCUACAGAUGGUUUGAUUGAAAUGUUUUAAGGAUAGGUGUCUCUUCAGUCAAACCUAAACAUUUUGAUGAAAUGUUUGAGUGGUUCUCAGUCUCCACCUACAAAUGCCAUUUGCUGUUUAUGUGGGACGAACGUCUUGCAAACUAAGGUCGUGCCUAAAUAAAACAGAAAUUCUAUAACCAUCUGCUUUAAAAGAGAUUAAACCAGAAUUUUGCCAGUUACAUUUCCCCAGCGUUAAUUUUAUGUAAUAAAAUUAUAGUAUAUUGUGCAUAGCAUCUUUAGUUAUGAUGCUCUAGGAAUGCCUAUGGGUGGUGUCGAAUUAUACACACGAGCAUGUAUUCCAACUCUAUUGGGAGUUUUUAAAGGUGCAUUGAGAGGUGUCAGUGGAUCAUAAUCCAUUUCAUUCAGAAACUGGGCUGCAUACUUUAGCUUCUACUUCUGGUUUGAGGAAAUGAAGGGAGGUAAAAUAUGAAGUCUUAUCAAGAACAGUGUUAGGGGCUGGAGAGAUGGCUCAGUGGUUAGGAGCACCGACUGCUCUUCUAGAGGUCCUGAGUUCAAAUCCCAGCAACCACCUGGUGGCUCAAGAACACUGUUUACUCCACUGUCAAAAUGAGCAGUGCAAUCUUACACAGCAGCUUGCUUUUCCCAAGAAGGCGACUAGCCAAGCUUAACCCUCACACUGGGGUAGGAGAUAUUUAACUCAGAAUCUCAGUACAAAGAGAAGCCUUCAGUUCAGAUGUCCUGCUGAUCCAAACCAAGUAGCUAUGUUUUCUGCACCGGGGUGAAAACUCUUCGCAGGCCUUGGAAAUUAGAGUGGAGCUUUGGGUAGAGAGGAAUUUCACUUGUCUCGUGGAACCGUACCACUGUGAUGGAAGGCUCUCAUUUCCCACGUGGGUAACAUGAAUUAUAGCAACGAUGGCCAAUUUAUAUCGAGGGAAAAGUCUGUUAUUUUUCUCUAGGUCAGGGUCACUCAUCCUGACCUCUGCUGAUAUUUUAAUCUAUAUAAUUCUUUUCAUGGGGAGAUCUCACAGUCUUGGCUUCUGCCUGCUGUGCGACAGUUCCUCCCUCCCUAACAACUCAUAUUCAUACACAACCAAAGGUCCUUCAGAGACUGCCAGCUACCUGCGAAAUAUAUUUGGUAUCUUCUUUGAUCUACACAUACAAUUAGUUAUAUUAGACCUUCACACUCACUUCAAUAGAAUUUUUGUGUGUGUGCAGCAGUUUUCUGAACAGAGCAGACAGCUUUGAUGCAAAUGCUCCUGCCAAUCCGUAUCUUAUCGGUGUGUGUAAAACUGUAAUUCCGGCUGUGUGCCCCUCACCUGCAUCACUCACGUGAUUAACGUAAUAAUAUUAAGAGUCAUCGAAUGUGGGCUAAUACUGCUUUAUUUAAAACCAUUCAAAGUGCCCAGCUAUGCUGAUAUAAAAUAGUUGCCUUCAUUUGGAUGUGAAACACUCUUCUUAGGCGUUAUCAUUAGAUAUAAUAAUAUGUUUUUAGAACCUAGUUUUGACAGUGUUGAAGAAAGCAGGGCGAUUUGGAUGACUUCAUGGGAAACAGCAUAUAAAAGUGGUAUUAAUUGUGCUUUGUCAUCGGUUUGGAAUUUCUCCAACUACUAGUUUCCUUGAGAAGGCACGUAAAAUAUUGAACGCUGAAGAAAAUUCGAAGCAAACAUGUAUGACCAACAGGGAAGUAGGUUGAUAAUUAUGGUCCUUUCCAGGCAGGAAGAGACACCUUGCUUUUGAGUAUGUGUUCAUGUGUUUGUUGGCUGGUAGUGAUUUUGAUUGGAAGGAAAAACAUAAAAUUCUCAUAGUCACAUAGAAAGCAAGAAGAUGAGUCAUCAAAAGGAAAAUGUUCUGGGUACAACUUGAGAUGACGAAAGGGAAAAUACAUGCCAUGGCCUUAACUUGCUCUUUUUAAAACUGUUAAUGUGAUUAAGAUAGUAAGUAUAUUGUAGUUUGAACUCAUUACCAAAAGUGAAUAAUCUGGGUCUGUUAACUGAGGAAGACUAAUUUCCUGAAUAAAUCGAUAAUUUCCCUUUGAGUGAACGUGCACGUGUGUUUGCACAUAGGCUUGAGUUUACAUGUGGGUGGGUCAUGUGGCCUCCCCAUUGCAUACCUGUGGGACAAAGCUGAUUUUCCUCCUUAUUCAUUUUAGUUUUUUUCCAAUUUUUCAAAAGUUUCCGUGGUUCUCUGCUUCAUGACUUCUACCACGUGAUACAGAGGCAGUAAAGUUUAAACAUGCCUUGUUUACGUUAUUAUGUGUUUACAGUUUCAGAUUUUAAUAAGUCAUCCAGAGCCACAUACUGUGGUAUGGUGAGAGAACAGGCUUUCCUCCGAGGGCCUUAGUUGUAUGCUAAUGCAGGACCUGGGCUAAACUCCAUUCAGGGGUAACUUGUAGCAUCACAGAACAUACAGCUGUAUAUCGGUAGUGUCAAGAGUUAGACAUAAAAGCCAGAAGACUUUAGGGCUCCAGUUUGUAGUAACUACAUCAAACCAUGGUCUUACGUUUCUAGCUCAUUGUUUUUCUUUAUGAGGAGGUUAUAAUGAGUGUGCUUUGUUUGAUAUGUCACAUAAUUUUUAAAAUUAUGGUGGAGUCUUUCCCUGGUCAUAAAUAACAGGAUCUGAAAUAAAAGGGAUGAAUAGAUAGGAGAACUUAUUGCUAGUAGAUGUUUCAUGUGAUAAAAUAAACUUUUAUAGUGAACGAGUUCACAUCAAAGAGAGAUUACAACUUGGUUUAAUGGUGAACUGGGAAAUAGAUUUUCAGCAACUUUGUGGCUAAAGGCAUUUCUAAUGAUCACAGUCUGUUCUACACUAGAGUUUUACAAAACGUUGGCUGCACCAGGACUACUCAAAGGGUUGUGAAAAUAUAGAUUUCUCAGCUUUGGGCCAGAGUCUGCUUCAAGUGAAUUUUGACAACCUUGUAUGUAUGACCAGUUGUCCGGUGGUUUGUGUCAGCUCCUGCAGGUAUGACCAAUUGUCCAGUGGCGUCAGAUGGCCACUGUCGUAGAGCUUUACUGACCCUCAGGAACCAACUCUCAGUUGGAGCUAAGAACUUUCUCUUUGAUAGAAAUGACAACUAGUACAGGUUAAAUAAAUAAGUUCGUAAGUUGGGAAUACUCAUUUGUAAUAGACUGACAGCUUUAUCAGAGGAAUGGAUGGAUUGUGAAUGAAGUUGUUUCCAACAAAUUCCUUCACAAGAUAUUAAAGACAGGAAAUACAAAUAUCAGCCAGCUUAAUUUUAAAAGUAUAUAAUAUAUAGUAACACAAAACAAAAAUACCUCCUAUCAUCAAUGUUUUAUUCAUCUUUUCUUGAUUAUCUCUGUUCUACCUGCUCUCAAGGAAUUAACAACUCUGGUUUUUCAUAGUUCAGCCACACCCAAUUAUCCAGUAUCUCUUAGCCUUCUAUGGUUUUUUAUCACUUACAUGUACUACAGGUAUCUACUAACUCAGCACGGUUACUUAAAAUCCAUUAAGACUUGAAUAAAUUGAAUUAAAUGCUAAUCCACGGGAUAGAGUGCAUUUCAUAAGUUAGACAGAACUGCAAAGCAUAUCUCGACGGAUAUUCAGGGCUACCCUCCAUGGUGGUGGAGACCACACACCUGAAGCACAUGCUGUAGCUAAUCAUGUGGAUGAGACUGUGGGAAUUGUGGCCAUUAAACAUGGAAUACAGGGUGUUGAGUGCUGGCUUCUCUCUUGUACGUUUAGCUACCUGAGUAGCCCCUGAGUCAGAUGUCAGACGACUCAUCCUAAACCAGGGGUCAGCUUCUCAUCUUCACUCCCAUUUUGACACCAUGACAGAAGCACAAGUAAGAAUGGCUUGCUGGGUGACCGUUUAGUUGAAGAUUAUCCUUUACCACAGCCAGUCAGCUGUCACCAUGCAGCUUUCUACAUAAGGCUUGGUGUUUUAUAAGAAGUUGAAGACAGUAGAAAUGAAAAUGAUAUGAAGUCCUUCUCUUCAUGCUCGGGAGAAUGAAUCCAAAAUUGAAUUAUAGAACUCACCAUAAACCAGGGCACCAACUCUUCUGCUUAUCUGGCAGAAACAGUGAAAUCAUUUAACCAAAUUAACAACACAAACCUUUGCAAACAAGACACCGUCAAUUGAAUUAAUAUCUAAUUUGUCAAUAAAUAUUUGUUACAGUUGACAAUAAAUUCUGACACACCAAUGCAUGUGUGCUUUAAGAUUACACAUAGAAUUAUGACUCUUGAGUGUACCUGUGGAGUGAAAGCUUGCUGAGAUCUGGAAUCUGGUAGUUGUUCCGACUACAGAGCAAGAGAAGAUGGAAAUAAUUGUUUCUGGUGGAAAACUGGAAAGCCAUCAUCCUUUCCCCCCUAUUCCAUUAGUGCUACUUGCAGAACCUUGAGUAGAGGUACUGAUUCAUUAGUGAGUAAAUAUUUUUAUAUCCCCAAAUGCAGUGGAUAAACACUCCAUUAGAACACUAAUAAUUAAACUUCACAUUUUUAUUUCCUGGCUUUAUAAACCAUUGUUUUCCAAUACCUUGCCAACAGUAUCCAAAUUUGGGAGUUAGGGUUAGAAGUUGUCUUCUGGGGGUUGGGGAUUUAGCUCAGCGGUAGAGCGCUUGCCUAGCAAGCGCAAGGCCCUGGGUUCGGUCCCCAGCUCCGAAAAAAAGAAAAAAAAAAGAAGUUGUCUUCUGUUUAGAAUGACUAAAAUGGCUAUAAUUAGAACAAUGUAGGUCUGUCUCCCCUGUCCUUUCUGUUUUCUAUGUAGUUUACCAAUCUUAGCUUUCCUUUUUUACAGAGGCAAAAGUAUAGAUCUCUUUGACACAGGACUUGUAGGUCAUCAUGUGCCUCUCCAAAGCAUUGUUGAUCCUGGAUUCAGGGUUCUGAAUGGUGGGGAGGAGCAAACUGUGAUGACAAAAUUGUAUCCUUUUCUUCCUGCAAUUACUUCAGCGUCCAUAUAGCCUUGACAUCUGGAAGCCCCCAGCUACUGUCGCAGCUGUGAUUCCUGCACCAUUGCAGGAAGUUAAGCACAUGUUGCAAAGAACACUCAUUGUUUUGGUAUUUUCUGGGAACUCAAAAUCCAGGCUAUUAGAGAGCAUACACUUGGUUCCAUGGACAUAUUGGAAUCAUGUACUCAUGUGAACCGCACCAUAAUAUGAACCACUUACUUACAGAUGGUGUAGGCUGUGUUUUCUUAGCAACACACACACACACACACACACACACACACACACACACACACACACACGCACACCACAUAUCAUGGCUACAUCCUGAAUUUGGCCAUUUUUAGAUAUACACUGGUCUUCAUUGUUCUUGUCUUUGAUUUGGAGACAUCUGCCAACGUUUUCUCCAAUGAUCAAGGUGAGAGGGACAUGUGCCUCAAGACACAGUCCUAUUUAAACUGUGGGAAGAGAAUUAAGUUAGACAGUAAAUGGGAGAAUUUUACCACUCUGUCUUUGUUCAUAUAGAACUUCAGGUAACAAGCAAAUGAACUCUAAAACACUUAGGAAUCAGUUCAAAAAAUCUUCAGUUUCCCAAAUGAAAUACAGAGUCACCGAGUGUUGGUAAAAUCCAGCUGACUUUUGGCAUCAGAUCAGUGUAGGGAAUGGUUUUGUGAUUUGAAGCUGAUGAACACUUAUGGCUGUUUACAUGGCAUGCUUUGAUUCUUUUAAAAUGAUCAAAAGGAGUGGGCGCUACAUGGGCUAGCUAUUAACUUAUCUUCAAAAAAAACAUAAUGACUAUCCUCAGCUUAAGAGCAUUAGUAGGUUUUGUUCACAAAAUUAAGAGGGAGAUGGAUUUUAUUAAUGCUCCAUAAUCAUUUUGUUAAUCAAAAUGAUUGCCAGCAAUCUUCUAGAAACUAAACUGCUCCAGAAGAGAUUGAGUAUUGCUGUCGCUCACAGUGCCACUUGGCAAAAAUAUAAUUGCAUAUGAUUUUUAUUUAGUUUACUGAUUGUAUUUUUAUUUCUGUUUAUUCAUCUUGCUUUCAUUUACUCCAAAACAUUAAAAUAGUCUCCGUAGCAUAUUAUUCACCCUAACUUGCUACUUAAUUCAAUAUUUCCCUUUGCCUGAUUAUUUUUAAUUUUGCACUCAUAAUGAUUAAUGAUCUCUUAUAAUUCAACAGUUUAUUUCAGAUGAUUAAAGUAGGCUUGUCUCAUUCAUGCGAUGGCUUCAAAAUCUAUCCUCUUUUGGUUAGAAUUUUUGACAGUGUAUUUACAAUAUGUUCAUAAGACAUUAAUUUUAUAUAUGUUCGAACAGUGUGUUUAGCUUUAGAGGAUUGCUCUUCUGAUAACCAGAAUUUAUUGGACAUUAUUCUAAUAUUUGAAUAUGAUGUUUCAUACUGAAGACUUAACUUUAAAACAAAUCUUUGUUUGAAUAGUGGCUGGUUUUUCUACCUCUGUUGCCUUCCAAAACCUUGCCAGGGCUCAUCUUUCUGAGUAGCAAUUACGAAGCCCAGAAAGAUGUUUAGAUGAAUUUUUUAAAACCCAAUUUAAAAUUGCACAGAAUGCACAAUACAUCUUGUCCAGUUGCCUGGUUGCCUUUCUCCGUCUGCAUUUUUGUUCUCUUAGUGACAAUUCACUUUUCAUUGCCCCACGGUGAGCAAGAGCAAGUUUUGUAUUGGUUUGAGCAAUUCGUGAGCAUUCAGACACAGGUGAAGUAUUUUCAGAAUCAAUACAGCAGAAUUGUGUUUGGGAUGGUCUGUUCACACACCAUUGAUGCUUUGUAACACAUUGGAGAAAACACUCCUUUUUACUGCUACUUAAACAAGAGGGCAUGGAGCAUUCCAUUUGCAGAGAAGUUCCAUCCAUCUGCUCAUGGGCAAAGGGGAAGGCAAAGAGCUGCAGUUGGGGAGACCAUACCCUAGUCUUUCCUGAGAGGAGAUUCAGCUCGCUUUAAAGAUUCCUCAACAGAAAGGACCCCCACCCCAACCCCAUUUAUCUGGCUUACAGACCACUUGCAAUCGCUUAGGGCAGGUUAAUGAUGUCAUUUAGCAGCUGCAGUCUUGACGUAGAUUGUUUCCUUAUUGAAGAGCACUGUGCAAGCCUGAUUUUGAAUUGUUUCUGUUGGACAUCUAUGUGUCAGAACUUAAGCUUUUCUCCGUAUUUUUUUUCUUCGGCUUUUCUCACACCUCAGAAAUCACUUUUAACUUUCCAAAGACAUCUCAGUUCUGCAGCUCAUUGCUAGAAUCUUUGAUGUCAUGACAUAAAAUGUCACAAGGUGAAAAUAAAAAUGAUUUGUGCACAGGACAUUGUAUCUUCAGAGUGUUUAAGCCAGCCUUAGUAAAGGUCAUUAUCAAGAUUAUCCCAUGUGACAAAUUUGGUUGAUAGAUUUUAUUUUGUACCGUGCAUGGGUUUGAAACCGGGUCCUCACACAUACCAGGCAAGCCUGCUACCACUGAGUCACAUCCCCAGACUGGAGCUAGCAUCAUUUUUGUCAUUACAUAGACUGCCUUUAGUUUCUGAGAAGUUCUUCCCUACAAAAGAAACUAAAAAUGAUUGUUGACGAUGAGAAUAGACAUGCUUCAUCUUGGUAAAAAAUAUUUCUAACCCCCUAUUUUUUUUUAAUAAAAAAUAGUCACCAUACAAAUGUAUGAGACCUAAAAUAUACUAAGAUUUGAAAACUAUCACCAAUGUAUUUAUCACAUGAAAUACAUGAUUUGGGGACAGAUUUUAUAGUGUCACAUCUAAUGGACCAUAAGAAGAUAACUGAAAGGAAAAUGGCUUUUCUUUUGUCUGGUUUUCUAUGGACACAUACUGAAUCUGCUAGGAAAACCUUCCGAAUCAUUUUUCUCCCUAGAGAAAUUACUAGACAUUUUUAAAAUCAUAAUUUAAUACAAAAAAUGUGAACAUACCACUAAUCUGUCUGUGACUUAGAAUCUUGACACGGGCUGCCUGUCAUUUGUUAUGGUGUGGUGAAUAGUUUACUUCAACCUCUUAGCCCUUGAGCUUCCUUAGAGGCACAAACAGUGUCGGUGCUCUCUGCUUAGCCUUGUGAGCAAAAUAUAUCGCCAUUGAUCCCGAAGAAAAAUUACAGAGAAGAGCAGUGAACUACAAAGUCCCUACUUCCUAACACAGAAAGAUGUAAAUGGUCUGCAUCAAGUCCUGGAGUUAGAGUGUAGGCUCUUCCUACCAGAUGUGGAUAUUUUGGGCACAUUUUUUUCAGCACUACACAAUCAGAAUCCAGCCCAAAAUAAGGAUGGGAGAAUACGAAACCCUCCUCCAUGUAACGUGUGUUGCUUUUUAUGUGGUGUUAACAAGGUGACUCUGAUGGAAAAUGUAGUCUGUCUUAGUUUAAGACGGAAGGCACAAAAAAGAUGUUUUCCUUCUGGACAGCAGACUUCAGCACUGAGGGAUCAGAGGAACAACUUGAUCGGCACUGUGAGUGCAGACCUAAAGAUUUCACAGCAUUCCUGCCUCCUUGCUAGGCCUUAUGUCUCUUUAAUGGCAUUUAGAUUAUCCUCCUCUGCAGCCACACAGUCAAAACACCAUGUCAUUUUGGAUACCAAAUUGCAAUCAGUCAGGAUGUCGCCAUUAAAGAAUCCAUAUAUGCUGUCUCUUGUUUUCAAUCUUUUGAUAGAAAAGGUAAGAGUACUAUCUUCUAAACUUGGUCUAUAGUUGAAUGAUUCAAAAUGGACAGAGGACAUGCUUUUAUUUAUAGACGUCCCUUCCUUUGUGUAAUGUAUUCCUCUCACAAUUUUAUUUUAACAUUGCCAUCUAUUUACUGUAUCACAUACAUGAUAUGCUUACACAUGAUAUACGGAAAUUAAAAGUAUAUAUUCAAUUAUAGGAAUUUUCUUUUCUCCCAAUGUGAGAUAUUUGAUAUAGAGCAUACUUAUACUAGAAUAGGUAUUAAAUAUAAAGAAAAGGCACCACACUCUGAAUUCUGGAAUGGCAUUCAGUACAGAUGGCGUGUUUCAAAUGUCAUACAAGAAACGAGUUUUAAUUGGAAUAUGUGCUUUUAAAAUAAUGUUUAUUAUAGUGACUUCACACUAAAACCCUUCUGAAAAAAUUAGCAUCUCACUCAGUAUUCCUAAAGAUACACAGGAAAGAUGUUAUGCUUUCUAUAAAACACAAUAUAUCCACCCCAUUUGAUGGUUUAUAUAGUAACACAUGUAGCUAUCCAUCUGUAUCAUCCGUGAGCAAAGAAUAGAGCUGACUUCCAGGACCACAGGGCACCCAUAAUUGGGUGGAGAACUUUGGCUUCACUCUUCCUCGUGUAGCAUAGUAUGGAUUUCAUGCAUUUGCAAGAGGAGGUUUAGGUCACAGACAAAGUAAUAAGGUCACAAUAUGCUAGCUCAUUUUAAAACCAAGGUGGAAAAUAAGUGACUUUAAUACUUUCAUGGGAGUGUUUUUGGGGGGGGGGGGGGUUGUUAUUGUUUUGUUUUGUUUUCUGAAGCUCUCUUAAGUAAGCUUCACCUGAGAAGAGAAUAUUUAUUACCAAAAUGUCUCAGUUUUGGAAAAAGUCAUUUACUACACGUAAGUGAAUUCCUAAAUUUCUGAAUGUUCUGAGUUCUGAGCAACUUAUAUUUAUACUCUCUCUCUCUCUCUCUCUCUCUCUCUCUCUCUCUCUCUCUCUGUGUGUGUGUGUGUGUGUGUGUGUGUGUAGAAAAUUACAUUUUAAGCUAUAAGAACCAUGGAAAUAAAAAAGAGUUCUCAAACUGGAAAAGUCUAAAAUCUUACAGCAUUACUUCACCUCCCUAAGAAACCAGGUAAGGAAUGACAGGUGUAUUUACUGAGAAGGGAGGUGAUUCAAUAUUUUCUUUUAUUGAAUUGGGUUAAAUAGGCCCACAUUGAAUUAAUCUUUGGCAAAAACAUCAUGACAAGUAUUUUACUGACAGACUUUUUUUUAGCCAAAUAGAGCCACAUAAUAUAAUGUUUUAAUUAAAAUACAAUUUUCUUUUGUUAGAAGCAAUGGAAAAGAAGGAAUAGCCAUAUCCGGAGGUGAAAUCAUAGAGAGGAAGUUCUGCACGUGUGUGGGGAACAGUCAGCUUUAGACUAGGACUCUCCUCCCCUCACUCCUAGGAUUCAGGCUAGAUACUGGAAGCCCAUUCCUUGAAUAUAUACAUAUGAAAGAGAGAGAGAGAGAGAGAGAGAGAGGAAUGAUAUAUACAUAUAUAUUCAUUGAUAUAUAAAUACAACCUCUAGUCUUUAAAAUGGUACUUGUCUCUUGUUGGUUUAAUUAAACCUCUUACAUUGUUUUGUUCUGUGUCAUGGUAUUAGCAUGAAACUCUCCUGGCCUAGAACUCAUUAUGUAAACCUGAACUCACAGAGAACUGCCUGCCUCAGCUUCCUCAGUAUCGGAAUUAAAGCAAUAGGCUAUUUUACAUGGAGGAUUGGAGGAUUGGUGUGCAUAUGGGAAGAGUAAAACCUUUAGAACAGUGUAAUAUGAAACUCAGCAAGGAUUUCUUUACAAAUCUAAAAGAAUGAAAUAUAUUUGUGCACACGAAUACAUAUUAGUAGCUACUUGAGUCAUUUCACAAAGCCUUACUAAGUCAUUUAUUUUAUCCAAAUUCACUUUUCAUUAUAUGAGGUCAACACUAGUAGAAUUUGCACUUAAUAUAAAAAGUGCAUUUUAAUGCUACGAAGCACUCAUUUAAAGAACAGCUCAAAUUCCCAUCCAGCUCUAGGCCGUUACGACCAUUACACCAUAUGCCAAGCGCAGCGCCACAUCAGUUGUCACUGCACUCUCUGUAUUUAUGGAACUGAUUCCUUUCUUACAUCCUGUGAACAAGUGUAGAGUCAUUUGAUUAGCUUGUUCCAAUUAUCACAAGGCCAUCGUAUCAAUUCACUUGGAAGAAGGAGAGCCUUCCUUUAAUUGGCUCAUCCCAAUUAUCACAAGGCCUUAGAUUUCUUUCAUUUUCAUUUGGAGGAAGAAUAUCCUUUCAUUCAUUCAUAUAUAAAUAUAUGAAUACUAAUAUAUAUAUGAAUACUAAUAUAUAUGAAUACUAAAAUAUAUAUGAAUAUACACACACACACACACACACACACACACACACACACACACACACACACUAACUCUUGGCCUGUCGUGAUUAAUGAUAUUAAGGAACAAACAGUAACAAGAACAACAAGAACAACAAACCAUAAAAUAGUUGUUGAAUCUUAUUUUCAAUGCUUUUUGGCUAUGAAGAUUCUUUUGUAAACUUGCGUAAGUCAGUAUAGGGCACCUGUGGUCUUGUCAGUAAGAGGGUAUCAGCAUCUGUGAUCUUGACAAUAUGAGCUCUUUUUAUCUUGUGAUUUUGUCCUUAUAAGCACCUGUGCUUUUGUCCUUAUGAGCACCUGUGAUGUUUGUCAGUAUGAGCACUUGUGAUCUUGGGUGUUAAGUUUUUGGGUUUUAUUAAUUCUUUCCUUGGAUCGACAGAAAGCAGGACCCUGAUAAUUGUUUGUUACAUUUUUAAAUUUUAAAAUAUUUUCUGACAUGAAUGUUUCUAUUUUUCUAAUGACUAAAACUUGAGUGUUGAUGUAAUAUUCAUUCUGCUCUUCUUAACUUCAAUCUUGUAAAACGGGAUUCUCCCUAAUAACACGAUCUUGUACAUUUUAUAGAGGCAAUUCUUGUUUCUUCUUCAAAUGACGGGCUGCAUUUGUAUGAAAUAGCCAUCAUUAAAAGUAUCGUAUAUUUUAAGAUAUUUACUGUAGUUUAUAAGUUAGUAAAUACUGGAUAGGUAAGUCUAUAGAUGUAUAUACAGGCCAACCAUUAAGGAGCCUCAUUUGACCUUUCUUACUCAUCUUAGCCAAAAAAAAAAGUGCGAUUUUAAAAAGAUAAGUGUCAUCCAUUAUUAAGGGGCAAAGACAGAGUGCCAACUCUGAGUGAGUUCUUGUAAAAACACUGCAGUAGAUCACAGUGCAGAUGGAAUCUUGUUUGGGAAUCUCAAAGUUAAUAAUUCAUUUGGAGUGUUGGUUUUUAUGUUCCCCUUACCCUAUCAUCCAUAUGACGUAAGCCACCACUGGUUUUACUGAUGUUAAUUUACUAUGACAUUUUAAAAUAUAGGUCAAAGUCAUGUAAACAGAAUGGCACUUAAACAGAUUAUGUCAAACGUGUAACAUGCUGUAUAUUACAUUUGUCUCGUUUUGUUUGUGUUGUUUUCAUUAUGGUGCUCAGGUUGACUUUGAACUCUCAAUCCUCUUGCCUCAGUAUCAUAGUGCUUGUAUUACAGAACAGCGCCAUGCCUACCUCUUCAGCACAAUCCAUUUCUUGUUUCUUUGUUUGUUUAUUUGUCUUAGGACAUGAGACCCCGUAUUCCAGGCUGUCCUAGAACUCACCAUGUCACUGAUUCUCCAGCUUCCACUUCCCAAGUUCUAGGAUUGUAGGUAUGCACCACCAUUCCUACAAUUCUUCGAUCAGGAGAGUAAGCCUCCUGUAUUAUAUUUGUCAGGUUCAAGAGCAAAAUAUUUAAACCUUAGUCUCAUCGCCUUUAAAAAGAUCUGUAGAAAGACAUUUCUUUAAGUAUGGGUGGACAGAUCACGAACACAUUUGGAGAAUGAAAACAUUUCCCCUACUACACCACACUUGAGGAUCUAGUUACCUGUUCAUAAAGAAGUACAGUCAUUAUUACCAAGACCAUUUUCCAUUCAACUGCUAUUGAAUUUCUCGGAAUAGAAAUGCUGUUCAUGCUUGUACACACAGAGCCAAAACCAGAUUCAGCUCCUUCCCCAUUGGAUUAAUCCAGUUCCAAGUCAAAGCACUAGACUACCAUUUUUCACUCACAAAUGCAAAUGAACAGGUACAAUGGUAAUGACUUGCCUUUUUCUUUGUGUGACAUAGAAAGUUCCAACCCUAGUCAUUCCAUCGACAUAUCUUCUACACAGAAGACAGGACAGGCAGUGAAGGCAUUAAAUAAUGCAAUUAAUAACAAAUAAUUUAUGUGAUGCAUAAUUCAUAAUAUAUUCAUGAAGAACAUAACAAAACUUCUAGAUCACUACUUUCCAAGAGGCUUAUUAAGGAAAUAGAUGUUAUAGCUACUUCGCCCCUUAUGCUAUGCCCUGUAUGACAAGUGUUCUUGUUACACGUACAACCACAGGACUCCACCAGAGACCUUCACAGGGGAAUCCUAGGCUCUGAUCAGCACUCCCUGAAACUCCCACAGUCUCUAUCUGAGGAGGAGACUUAGUCAGCUUUCAUCUUCGUUUAAUGUCAAUUCCUCCAAAUUUCUGAGUUUGCUCAUUUGUUUUUCCAGAACUAAUGGUUUCUCAGACCUUAAUUUGAAAAAGCCAGCCACUGCCCAAUUAUUUGAUCAUUUGUUCAAGUGAAAAUACUCCUCUAAAUUCCGUUUGUUUUAAGCUUUUGAAG
rnacentral:lncRNA from 1 species